rnacentral:misc_RNA from 1 species
GAUGAAGAACGUAGCGAAAUGCGAUAAGUAAUGUGAAUUGCAGAAUCCAGUGAAUCAUCGAAUCUUUGAACGCACAUUGCGCCCGCCAGCAUUCUGGCGGGCAUGCCUGUUCGAGCAUCAUUUCAACCCUCGACCUCCCUUUGGGGAAGUCGGCGUUGGGGACCGGCAGCACACCGCCGGCCCUGAAAUGGAGUGGCGGCCCGUCCGCGGCGACCUCUGCGUAGUAAUCCAACUCGCACCGGAACCCCGACGCGGCCACGCCGUAAAACACCCAACUUCUGAACGUUGACCUCGAAUCAGGUAGGACUACCCGCUGAACUUAAGCAUAUCAAUAAGCGGAGGA